rnacentral:rRNA from 1 species
GGAGCUAAUCCCUUAAAGCUACUCUCAGUUCGGAUUGUAGGCUGAAACUCGCCUACAUGAAGCUGGAGUUACUAGUAAUCGCAGAUCAGAAUGCUGCGGUGAAUGCGUUCCCGGGUCUUGUACACACCGCCCGUCACACCACGGGAGUUGGAGACGCCCGAAGCCGAUUAUCUAACCUUUUGGAAGAAGUCGUCGAAGGUGGAAUCAAUAACUGGGGUGAAGUCGUAACAAGGUAGCCGUAUCGGAAGGGGCGGCUGGAUCACCUCCUUUCUAAGGAGAAUUG